rnacentral:rRNA from 1 species
GCCAUUAUGGAUGUCGUCAGCUCGUGUCGUGAGAUGUGUGGUUAAGUCCAGCAACGAGCGCAACCCUUAUCUUUAGUUGCCAGCGCGUAAUGGCGGGAACUCUAGAGAGACUGCCCGGAUUAACCGGGAGGAAGGCGGGGAUGACGUCAAGUCCUCAUGGCCCUUAUAUCCAGGGCUACACACGUGCUACAAUGCUAAAUACAGAGGGCAGCGAUCCGGUGACGGCGAGCGAAUCCCCAAAGUCUAUCUCAGUCCGGAUUGGAGUCUGCAACUCGACUCCAUGAAGUUGGAAUCGCUAGUAAUCGCGGAUCAGCAUGCCGCGCUGAAUAUGUUCCCGGGCCUUGUACACACCGCCCGUCACACCAUGGAGUAGAUUAUACCCGACGUCCUGGCUAACC